CCAGGGCCUGUUCUAGAAGCUGCCACAUGGAUGAAAGGGAAGGAGGAGGAGGGCAGCAGCCCAGGGCACGCUGGGAGCCUCCAACCUCGCCCAGCAGACCAGGCAGGCCCUGGGGCUGGGGGGCGGGCAGGCCCUGGGGCUGGGGGGCGGGCAGGGCCUGGGCCUGGGGAGGGAGAGGCCCUGCACCGCCAGCCCAGAGGCUGCAGUGCCCCAUGGAGGGGUUCGGCCCCCACAGCCUGCAGGGGCUGUGGCAGGAGGGCCUGGUCAUGCCUGUGACCUGGCACCCGCCCCAGAAACCUCCUCUUUCCUGGUUUCACCACCCAGGGCCCGGGAGGCUCCCGAAGCCCCGGUUCCCCAGAGCAGAGCUGCUUUCCAAGAGCCAUAAAACCGUCCCCACCCGGAACAAUGGGCCCUUAUCCGGCUGUGUCCUUCACAUAAACUCCCAUUAGCAAUGCACCAGAAGCUGCAGGCAGGACUUUUAUAGACUGGCUUUUUGGAUCAACCCCAACACUCAUUACCAUCCACUCCCUCGGCCUCUGCUGAGGCUGCACCACAGCCCUCCCAUUGACAGAGGCCUACUGUGCACCAAGCCCCCGGCAGCCCUGCAAGGAAGGUGGCUUUGUCUUGCUUUAUGAAUAAAGAAAGCGCAGCCCAGAGAGGUUCAGUGACUUUCUCAAGGUCACACAGCUGGAUUGCUGGGGUUGAAAUCCAGAGUCUGUGCUCCUGUCCCCACCGAGCAUGUGGCCUCAUUAGGUUAGGAUGAAUCAAUUCCUUGCCCAGGGCUCUGGAAAAGGAGCCUUUUCUGAGACCCUUAUAGGCCUCUACCAGAGUGUCCUGUUGACCUGCCCACAGGCCAGCAGAGGCAUGGUGGGGUGGUCACUUCAGGCAGGGACCAGCCCAUAGAGUGCCAGGGGUGGAAGCCACUCUGGUUCCAGAGCCACUGCUCCUUGCAGUAAGCGGCAUGAGUCAGACUCCCCACUAGAAACUGCAUGCAGCCAACAAGUGCUCCCCAAGUGCACAGGAGCUGGGAGGGCCAGGGCCUACCUCCUCGGUCCCAAGGGGACCACCAGGAACCCUGGACUCUUUUUCUUUUUUUUUUUUUUUGGUACCAGGGAUUGAACCCAGGAGCACUUAACCCUGAGCCACAUCUCCAGCCUUUUUAAAUUUGAGAGAGGGUCUUGCUAAGUUGCUUAGGCCCUCGCUAAGUUGCUGAGGCUGGUUCUGAACUUGCGAUCCUCCUGCCUCAGCCUCCCCAGCUCCCCGGCCCCUGAUCAUUUGUGUUUCGCCCUAGAGCUCCAUCUAGAGCCGUGUCCCUGACCCUGCACCGCCAAGCCUCCUGAGCUGCUGGGAAUUUUCCGGGCUCCUGCCCUGUGCCUGCAGAGAGUCCGCGCCUCAUCUCACCCCGAGACGCUCCAGCUCCUAACUGGGCAAACCAGACAGACGGCAGCAGCGGCCCAGGCUCCCCUGCAGAACCCGGGACCCACACGCCCAGGGCCACUCGCAGGGCCCCUUUGUGCAAGAUUGGCUCAUGGCUGCCCCACCCAGAGAAGCUGGCGCUGGGGCCUGCCCUGCGUCACCAUUCCCUGUUACCUUCUUUGCUUUCCUCCGCUCCCACCCCCAGCACUGGGAGUUGAACCCAGGGUGCUCACCCCUGAGCAAUGUCCCAGGUCCUUUUAUUUUUUCUUUUGAGACAGGGCCUUGCUAGAUUGCCCAGGCUGGCCUCAAAGUUGCUAUCCUCCUGCCUCAGCCUCCCAAGUUGCUGAAUUACAGGCAUGAGCCACUGCGCUUGGCUCCCUUGUUGCCACAGCCUGCCCUGUGCAACUCAUGGGUGUGACUGUUACUUAGAGCCGGGCCCCAUGUUGGGUGGUCUCCUCCUCCUCCUCCUUCCCACCAUUCUCCUAGCUCACACCUAGAAAGCACUUGCUAGGUGCCAGGUGCUGGGCCAGCCCUUUACCUGUGUCAUCUCAUCAAAUCACAAUAACCCCACGCCAGGCGCUACCUGUCAUCCUCGCUGGGGUACCUGCCUAGUGCGUGGGAGGCUCUGGGUUCAGCCCUAGCACCACAUAAAAGUAAAUAAAAUAAAGGUAUUGUGUCCAUCUACAACUAAAAAAUAAAUCUUAAAAAAAAGAAAAGAAAAAGAAAGGGGUGUGGGCCACGGCUCUGGGUGCUGGUGCUGGUGCUUAUUAAAUCACCUGCUUGGAGGAGAAAGUCUGGGGUAGCGGCCUCAGGCGCCAUGUCUGGCCGCAAAGGUGGCAAGAAGCCCCUGAUCCAGCCUAAGAAGCAGGCCAAGGAGACGGUGAGGAAGAGGAGGCCUUCGGACAGAGAUGGACAGAGACGGACAGAGGAGCCGAAGCCGAGGCCCAGCCACAGGCGGGAGGAAGAGAUCUGGCAAAAGUGAGCCUUCUCUUGUGCCUAAAAUGACGCUGGCCAGUGACCCCGCUCCUAUUCAGACGUCAGGACCCGCGGCACAUCUUCCGCCCCUACAGCUGCGGCGAAGUGCUGUGUGGCGUCUGCUGUGAAUUUAAGAAUGAACUUUGGUAAAAAUUAAAAAU
rnacentral:lncRNA from 1 species